rnacentral:ribozyme from 11 species
CGAGAAGAAAGAAGGAGAGAAUGAAGAGAAAAGGCGGGUAUAAGAAUGAGACGACCGCAGGGCAGACAGCUUUGUCUUUCUUGCUCUCUCCCUCACUUCCUUUCCUCCUCUUUCUCUCUCUCUCUCUGUCUCCAAAUUUCUU